ACAUCCCUCUCCCAGUGUUCUCACCACAGCACUGAAAAGAUUUGCUGAUUUUGCUGGCGAGAAGACUAGUAAGGUUCCCAAAUGGGUUUGAACCUUGCUCUGUCUUCAGGAUGUGGACUACCCAGAGUAUUUGGACCUUUGACAUGUCUCAGCGCGUUGGAGAACGCGUCCUCUGCGCCUUAUGCAUUGUCCUGGUGCGCAGAGGGAUCAGUGGUCAUGCAGGACACUAUAUCUGCUUGACCAAGUUAAGCCAGUAAUGAGCUGUGGUACGAGAUGAACGAUGACUUGGUCGUCCCCCGUGACAUCAAACCGUCCUCAGUCAGCAGGUGUAUUUACUUUUUUAUAUCAGCUGUUGAGCACUGACAUGAGGGGAAAGCCAGGCCAGAGGUGGUGUAAGCAGGAGUUCUUGCUCUGGAAGGGACAGCC